GAACGAGUGAAACGUGGUCAAGGAACUCGGCAUAAUCAUCCCGUAACUUCGGAAGAAGGGAUGCCAGAGAGGGUGUAGGGUACACCGAAGCUCUCCCUGGUCGCAGCGAAUCGGCCCAAGCGACUGUUUUGCAAAAACACAGGUGUGUGCCAAGCCGCACAAGGCGCCGUAUACACACUGACGCCUGCCCGGUGCCGGAAGGUUAAGGGGAGAGGUUAGCCGCAAGGCGAAGCUUUGAGCCGAAGCCCCGGUAAACGGCGGCCGUAACCAUAACGGUCCUAAGGUAGCGAAAUUCCUUGUCGGGUAAGUUCCGACCUGCACGAAUGGCGUAACGACUUGGGCACUGUCUCGACCACGUGCUCGGCGAAAUGGCAGUCUCGGUGAGGAUUCCGAGUCCCCGCGACAGGACAAAAAGACCCCAUGCACCUUUACUGUAGCUUGUCAUUGGUCGUUGCACAUCGCUGUGUAGCAUAGGUGGGAGGCGUUGAUCCGUGGGCGCUAGCUUACGGGGAGCCAUCAGUGAAAUACCACCCUGCGUCGUGCGACGCCCUCACCACGGCGGGAACACCCCGUCUGGGACCGUGGCAGGUGGGCAGUUUGACUGGGGCGGUCGCCUCCGAAACAGUAACGGAGGCGCGCGCAAGGUUGGCUCAGCGCGGACGGUACUCGCGCUUCUAGAGUGUAACGGCAGAAGCCAGCCUGACGGUGAGAUCGACGGAUCGAGCCGCCACGAAAGUGGGCCGUAGUGAUCCGGUAGCCCGGGGUGGAGCGGCUAUCGCGCAACGGAUAAAAGGUACGCUGGGGAUAACAGGCUUAUCGCGCCCGAGAGUUCACAUCGACGGCGCGGUUUGGCACCUCGAUGUCGGCUUAUCACAUCCUGGGGCUGGAGAAGGUCCCAAGGGUCCGGCUGUUCGCCGGUUAAAGUGGUACAUGAGCUGGGUUCAGAACGUCGUGAGACAGUUCGGUCUGUAUCCGUCGUGGGCGUUGGAGAGUUGAGGGGAGCGGACUCUAGUACGAGAGGACCGAGUCGGACGACCCGCUCGUGUCCCGGUUGUCUGCCAAGGGCACCGCCGGGUAGCGAUGGUCGGCUGUGAUAACCGCUGAAAGCAUCUAAGUGGGAAGCACGCCCCAAGAUGAACUCUCCCGAGGCCUUGAGCCUCUUGAAGGGCCGGGGAAGACCACCCCGUCGAUAGGCCGCCCGUGGACGUCCCGCAAGGGAUUCCAAGCGCAGCGGUCCUAAUCGCCCGUAUGGCUUGACUAC
rnacentral:rRNA from 1 species